GGCCUUACGCUCCAGUUCGCACACAAUGUGCACACGUUACAUCACUAUCAGUAUUUUUGGUUUGAGAGAAAGGAGGACAGGAGGCUACGAGAUUUGUUUGUGUUUGAUUCUUGGGCGAACUCCUCUCUCUCAACCAACCAUACUGAUACUAAUUGACGUUCGAAGUUUGUGCUUAUCUCGUCGACUUCCUCAACUUGACGCCACAUAAUUCUACACUUGUAUCGGUCAUGUACGAAACAUUUGAAUAUAUAUUCCAGAGCCUCAAGUGCAGGCCCGAAGGUCAGUCCUCUAUUCUAGCUUUUCCCUGACACUUCCCAGUAUGUCUCAUGUUGUUGGGUGCCACCACAUUUGAAAUCUCUAUCGCAAUGCAGAUUCUGCGCAGAAAGAAGUUUAAAACUAAGGAUGUGUGUGUGUGUGUUCUUAUGUGCACCUGAGAGGAGACGAGAAUGAAAGUGCUGUCUUGAAGGCACAAUUGAUAAGCUCUGUCUUGCCGCGAAAUUCUGAUGCAUCAGUCAACACCGAACACUUGCACCGGUUCUACUUCCAUAUCCGACCUGAUAUGGUGCAACGCUAUAGUUGCAAAACCUGGCACGUGGAAUCCUCACUCGAUGUGUAGGAACACAACACCGAUGAUGUCACAUACGCACGCACACUCACAGACACCUACCACUUUCGACAUACGAUUUGACUCGAAGGCUCUUCAUCAAGAGAUUCACAAUCAGUGCAUCUAGAAGUAGCUGAGCAAACGUCGCGUGUAUGAAGGUGGCCACCUCACAACGAAGCCACUAGAGUAAUGGGAUUACACACAGACAUGUAGCUUUACACAUGUUCUCUUUGUAUAUAUCACAUGUUCUAGCGUGUUUCUCUGUAGCUCCCAAAAAGAGAACAAGCCACCUAUGAAAGCAAAACUUCCUUCUCCAGUACUUAUCAGUUUUUUCUUUGCUUUGCAUGUAUUAAGUA